rnacentral:rRNA from 1 species
UGCAUAUCAAUAAGCGGAGGAAAWGWAACCCAACCCGGGAUUGCCUUAGUAACGGCGAGUGAAGCGGCAAAAGCUCAAAUUUGAAAUCUGGCGUCUUCGACGUCCGAGUUGUAAUUUGAAGAAGGCAACUUUGUAGCUGGUCCUUGUCUAUGUUCCUUGGAACAGGACGUCAUAGAGGGUGAGAAUCCCGUGUGGCGAGGAUCCCAGUUAUUUGUAAAGUGCUUUCGACGAGUCGAGUUGUUUGGGAAUGCAGCUCUAAGUGGGUGGUAAAUUCCAUCUAAAGCUAAAUAUUGGCGAGAGACCGAUAGCGAACAAGUACAGUGAUGGAAAGAUGAAAAGAACUUUGAAAAGAGAGUGAAAAAGUACGUGAAAUUGUUGAAAGGGAAGGGCAUUUGAUCAGACAUGGCGUUUGCUUCGGCUUUCGCUGGGCCAGCAUCAGUUUUAGCGGUUGGAUAAAUCCUCGGGAAUGUGGCUCUGCUUCGGUAGAGUGUUAUAGCCCGUGGGAAUACAGCCAGCUGGGACUGAGGAUUGCGACUUUUGUCAAGGAUGCUGGCGUAAUGGUUAAAUGCCGCCCGUCUUGAAACACGC